UUCCUCUACUUAAUCCCUUCAUGGUUUAGAUCAAGGGGAUCCAAGAAAGGCCUCACACCUUUGAAAGAUUCCCUGAGGAUGCCUGUAGAUGAGGUUGAACCCCCAUCCGUCCAGAGGNNNNNNNNNNNNNCUGAAACCCAGCAGGUCCAUACUCCCAGCGCGGGUGAUAAUUAUUCAGAAAUUAAGCCACCAAAGAUCAAGUCAGCCAGUUUUAAGGAUCCUUCUUUAUCAAGCAAGCACCGAUCCUCAAAACGACAAGAAUAUGCAGAAUUCUAUGGAUCAGGUGAGGUGCCUUCUUCUGGCAGGUCCAGGAGCCAGCCACAAAGAGAGAACAAGGCAUCGACAACGUGAUAAGAGUGGAGAGGUGAUUUUUGGAGCAGCCGGGACAGAGCCA
rnacentral:misc_RNA from 1 species